rnacentral:tmRNA from 1 species
GGGGGUGCAUUUGGAUUUGAUAGAAGGAAUCCAUACCUAUUGAUAGCCACUGCUGAAUGGUUCUCCAGCAUAAUCACGAACCAAAACCAAAAUGCUAACGCAUGAAAAUCUCUCCUUGCGAGAGCUAAAGCUUUUGUUGCUACGCCAGCUUACUGCUAGUCUAGUGCCGCUUUAGUAUCAACCUUUACGUUUGACUCCUCCUAUGCGUAAAGGCGAAUUAAGGAGGAAAGUAUAGCUGUUGGGAUACAUAAGAAUACUAAGUUUGUUUCUUUCCUUAUUCUUCCCCUUCUCCAUAGCUCUAAAAAUCGGGUUAAAAAAGCAACUAUAGUGGUAGAAGUUGAUACGUAUGCCUUUUAGACUAGGGUUCGACACCCUACACCUCCAGAU